rnacentral:rRNA from 1 species
UACGUAGGGGGCAAGCGUUGUCCGGAUUUAUUGGGCGUAAAGCGCGUGUAGGCGGCCAGGGAGGUCCGUUGUGAAAACUCGAGGCUCAACCUCGAGACGCCGAUGGAAACCCCCUGGCUAGAGUCCGGAAGAGGAGAGUGGAAUUCCUGGUGUAGCGGUGAAAUGCGCAGAUAUCAGGAAGAACACCCGUGGCUAAGGCGGCUCUCUAGUACGGUACUGACGCUGAGACGCGAAAGCGUGGGGAGCGAACAGG